GAUGAACGCUGGCGGCGCGCCUAACACAUGCAAGUCGAACGAUUAAAGCACCUUCGGGUGUGUAUAAAGUGGCGAACGGCUGAGUAACACGUGGGCAACCUGCCCCUCUCAUUGGGAUAGCCACGGGAAACCGUGGAUAAUACCGAAUACUUCGAGUCUCCCGCAUGGAAGACUCGAGAAAGCUCCGGCGGAGAGGGAUGGGCCCGCGGCCUGUUAGCUUGUUGGUGGGGUAACGGCCUACCAAGGCAAUGAUGGGUAGCUGGGUUGAGAGACCGACCAGCCAGAUUGGGACUGAGACACGGCCCAGACUCCUACGGGAGGCAGCAGUGGGGAAUCUUGCACAAUGGGCGAAAGCCUGAUGCAGCGACGCCGCGUGCGGGAUGAAGGCCUUCGGGUUGUAAACCGCUUUCAGCAGGGACGAGGCGAAAGUGACGGUACCUGCAGAAGAAGCCCCGGCUAACUACGUGCCAGCAGCCGCGGUAAUACGUAGGGGGCAAGCGUUAUCCGGAUUCAUUGGGCGUAAAGCGCUCGUAGGCGGUCUGUUAGGUCGGGAGUUAAAUCCGGGGGCUCAACCCCCGUUCGCUCCCGAUACCGGCAGACUUGAGUUUGGUAGGGGAAGGUGGAAUUCCUAGUGUAGCGGUGGAAUGCGCAGAUAUUAGGAAGAACACCAGUGGCGAAGGCGGCCUUCUGGGCCAUAACUGACGCUGAGGCUCGAAAGCGUGGGGAGCGAACAGG
rnacentral:rRNA from 1 species